UUCGCCCCACAGGAAUUGAACCCCGUUCCAGUUUUUUAGGGAGGCACCAUAAGGAUUUUCCCCAAUUGGAGAAGCCCUGACGAACAACGCCGGCGGAGGGAAGAAGUUUUCGGAUCGUAAAACUUGGUUAUUAGGGAAGAACAAACGGGUAAGUAACUGGCCAGUUCUGGAGGGUACUAAUCAGAAAGCCCCGGCUAACUACGGGCCAGCAGCCGCGGUAAUACUUAGGUGGGCAGCUUUAUCUGGAAUUAUUGGGCGUAAAGCGGGGGUAGGCGGUUUUUUAAGUCUGAUGUGAAAGCCCACGGCUCAACCGUGGAGGGUCAUUGGAAACUGGAAAACUUGAGUGCAGAAGAGGAAAGUGGAAUUCCAUGUGUAGCGGUGAAAUGCGCAGAGAUAUGGAGGAACACCAGUGGCGAAGGCGACUUUCUGGUCUGUAACUGACGCUGAUGUGCGAAAGCGUGGGGAUCAAACAGGAUUAGAUACCCUGGUAGUCCACGCCGUAAACGAUGAGUGCUAAGUGUUAGGGGGUUUCCGCCCCUUAGUGCUGCAGCUAACGCAUUAAGCACUCCGCCUGGGGAGUACGACCGCAAGGUUGAAACUCAAAGGAAUUGACGGGGACCCGCACAAGCGGUGGAGCAUGUGGUUUAAUUCGAAGCAACGCGAAGAACCUUACCAAAUCUUGACAUCCUUUGACCCUUCUAGAGAUAGAAGUUUCCCCUUCGGGGGACAAAGUGACAGGUGGUGCAUGGUUGUCGUCAGCUCGUGUCGUGAGAUGUUGGGUUAAGUCCCGCAACGAGCGCAACCCUUAAGCUUAGUUGCCAUCAUUAAGUUGGGCACUCUAAGUUGACUGCCGGUGACAAACCGGAGGAAGGUGGGGAUGACGUCAAAUCAUCAUGCCCCUUAUGAUUUGGGCUACACACGUGCUACAAUGGACAAUACAAAGGGCAGCGAAACCGCGAGGUCAAGCAAAUCCCAUAAAGUUGUUCUCAGUUCGGAUUGUAGUCUGCAACUCGACUACAUGAAGCUGGAAUCGCUAGUAAUCGUAGAUCAGCAUGCUACGGUGAAUACGUUCCCGGGUCUUGUACACACCGCCCGUCACACCACGAGAGUUUGUAACACCCGAAGCCGGUGGAGUAACCAUUG
rnacentral:rRNA from 1 species